GCCAGCAGCCGCGGUAACACCGGCGGCCCGAGUGGUGAUCGUGAUUAUUGGGUCUAAAGGGUCCGUAGCCGGUUUGGUCAGUCCUCCGGGAAAUCCGAUAGCUCAACUAUUAGGCUUUCGGGGGAUACUGCCAGACUUGGAACCGGGAGAGGUAAGAGGUACUACAGGGGUAGGAGUGAAAUCUUGUAAUCCCUGUGGGACCACCUGUGGCGAAGGCGUCUUACCAGAACGGGUUCGACGGUGAGGGACGAAAGCUGGGGGCACGAACCGGAUUAGAUACCCGGGUAGUCCCAGCCGUAACGAUGCUCGCUAGGUGUCAGGCAUGGCGCGACCGUGUCUGGUGCCGCAGGGAAGCCGUGAAGCGAGCCACCUGGGAAGUACGGCCGCAAGGCUGAAACUUAAAGGAAUUGGCGGGGGAGCACAACAACGGGUGGAGCCUGCGGUUUAAUUGGACUCAACGCCGGACAACUCACCGGGGGCGACAGCAAUAUGUAGGCCAAGCUGAAGACUUUGCCUGAAUCGCUGAGAGGAGGUGCAUGG
rnacentral:rRNA from 1 species